AAGAGUACCAAUUUUUUGAUUUUCCCAGAGGUUUUCAAAAUAAGUGGAAAAAUGUAAAAAUGUACGAAAUGUACUCAUAUUAUUUUCAAAUCAUAAAUAUUACGGCCUUUUAAAACACGUGUAACCGAACUCCGCUCAGAAUCGUUUUUCGUUAGCAAUAGUUGCGUUGAGAUGUACAUUAUAUUUUCCCUCUGCCUUCCAACUUCUCACCUAAAACAGUGGUUCAUCUAUCGUGCAAAGUAUGUUCGUAUAUUUUGAUAGUUGAAUUUGUUCUAAUAGAUUUUAUUCGCUAACGCGCAUAGAUAAAUAUUACCCCUUUAAAUAUUACAUCGAUCCCGUGUGACAGCCGAAAAUUAAAACGCUAGUUUUUAACGUUAUGUAAAAAGUUGGUAAAGUUGGUAAGUUCACGACUGUGACGGUGUUUUUUUUCUAAAUUCUCGCAUUAAGCGUGUAGAAAAUUUACUUGAAUUUUUUAAUCUAUCAUUUGGCAUCUACAGUGUUUGUAGUCCCUCAUCGAC